rnacentral:misc_RNA from 1 species
AAAGAGAACCCCAUGCUUUAUAACUGCAUCAACAUAAAAAGGCACCUUAAAACACAUGAAGGAUCAAGGAUGCAAAAGCCGGCAUAUAUAAUAUAAUGCAAGGAAAUAUCACUUGAUAAUAAAAUUUACAGAAUCUCACUACGCAAAAAUCCAUAAAUGUUCAAUAUCUGAUUAACAGCCAAUUUUUGAAUAAGACAAGCUCCCUGAUACAUGUACUUUUAAUUUUAUAUUGAUCCUGAA